rfam:Myotis brandtii contig235548, whole genome shotgun sequence.
GAGACACCCUUAUGGAGCAGGACUUGCUUUAGUGGGGCUUUGGUGCUCACUGAGUCUGCCCUUAUAGUGUGUCGUU